CUAGGUGCUCUCUAUAUUACAACAGCAGGAAUGAACUAAAAUCUUCAGGAAUACAGAAGCAGUUCUGUGAAUACUUUGGAUGGUUCCAGGCUUAUCUUCCAUAAAACAGCUAAAAGAUGUAAAUGCAGUUUUUUUACAGUUGCGACCUUCAGUACCUAUCCUGUGUAUUUUAAGAAUUUCCUCAGCCAGGGAACAGAUACAUUGGUUAAGAGUAACUGCUCACUGGACAGCUGUUCUGCCUGAAAAGAAAGAAAAGAUCACGUAUAAAAGACUGGAUACAUAAGGAGAAUCCUUGUGCUCUUCAACUGAGGAAAAUCCUGGCUUAUGUGUUGAGUGUUGGAGUAUGGUUGCACAGCACAGGGCGGCAUGGUGCAGCUAGACUGGAAUCAAGCUGAAGGCUGUCUUGGAGACCUAGUAGCCCAGGGGAGCUAUUAAGGUAAUUAGGACUUUUUUUUUUUUCAUGAGGAAAACACAAACAAAAAUUGGCAAUAAAAAAACACCCACAUCUAAACCCCA
rnacentral:lncRNA from 1 species